UAUCCUUAUUUGCAAGCGCGUUAUGGCGGGAACUCUAAGGAGACUGCCGGUGAUAAACCGGAGGAAGGUGGGGACGACGUCAAGUCAUCAUGGCCCUUACGGGAUGGGCUACACACGUGCUACAAUGGCAGGUACAGAGGGCAGCAAUACCGCGAGGUGGAGCGAAUCCCACAAAGCUUGUCGUAGUCCGGAUUGGAGUCUGCAACUCGACUCCUUGAAGUCGGAAUCGCUAGUAAUCGUAGAUCACAAUGCUACGGUGAAUACGUUC
rnacentral:rRNA from 1 species